rnacentral:lncRNA from 10 species
AGACUGGCUAAGUCUUCUGGCCUCCAUCUUUCUCCCAUGCUGGAUGCUUCCUGCCCUUGAACAUCAGACUCCAAGUUCUUCAGCUUUUGGACUGUUUGACUUACACCAGUGAUUUGCCAGGGGCUCUUGGGCCUUCAGCCACAGACUGAAGGCUGUACUGUCAGCUUCCCUACUUUUGAGAUUUUGGGACACGUACUGGCUUCCUGGCUCCUCAGCUUGCAGACGGCCUAUCAUGGUACUUCACCUUGUGAUCAUGACCACUGGUAUAGCUUGCCUGGUGGUGGACUUGGAGGAUACCAUUGCAUCAGGGCAUUUCUCCACAUGAUAGCUCCUGCCUGCUGGACAGGUCCUCUCUUGACUAUGUGUAUUCUCCAGAGAAGCAGCAUUUAUAAAAUUGGAUUAAAAUAAACUAACGAAUUAAAUAUGAAUAUGAAAAUAAACAGCUGUUUUCAUGGAAAUUGCAUUGAUGUGGAUUCUUCUGAAGGCAUGUCCCUAAAGAACCUGCCAACAAAUUCUGUAAAGGCAGAAUGAACAUUCUGGAAAAUUUAUGUCCUUGUGUAGAAGGCUAGAAAAAAAAAAGAAGAAAAAAGAAACUCUCAGCCUGAAGGCCUACGUAAAAC